rnacentral:rRNA from 1 species
GGCUCAGAUUGAACGCUGGCGGCAUGCCUUACACAUGCAAGUCGAACGGUAACAGGUCUUCGGACGCUGACGAGUGGCGAACGGGUGAGUAAUACAUCGGAACGUGCCCAGUCGUGGGGGAUAACUACUCGAAAGAGUAGCUAAUACCGCAUACGAUCUGAGGAUGAAAGCGGGGGACCUUCGGGCCUCGCGCGAUUGGAGCGGCCGAUGGCAGAUUAGGUAGUUGGUGGGAUAAAAGCUUACCAAGCCGACGAUCUGUAGCUGGUCUGAGAGGACGACCAGCCACACUGGGACUGAGACACGGCCCAGACUCCUACGGGAGGCAGCAGUGGGGAAUUUUGGACAAUGGGCGAAAGCCUGAUCCAGCAAUGCCGCGUGCAGGAUGAAGGCCUUCGGGUUGUAAACUGCUUUUGUACGGAACGAAAAAGCUCCUUCUAAUACAGGGGGCCCAUGACGGUACCGUAAGAAUAAGCACCGGCUAACUACGUGCCAGCAGCCGCGGUAAUACGUAGGGUGCGAGCGUUAAUCGGAAUUACUGGGCGUAAAGCGUGCGCAGGCGGUUAUGUAAGACAGAUGUGAAAUCCCCGGGCUCAACCUGGGAACUGCAUUUGUGACUGCAUGGCUAGAGUACGGUAGAGGGGGAUGGAAUUCCGCGUGUAGCAGUGAAAUGCGUAGAUAUGCGGAGGAACACCGAUGGCGAAGGCAAUCCCCUGGACCUGUACUGACG